rnacentral:rRNA from 1 species
UACGGGGGGGGGCAAGCGUUGUUCGGAAUUACUGGGCGUAAAGGCUCGUAGGCGGCCAACUAAGUCGAUGUGAAAUCCCCAGGCUCAACUUGGGAACUGCAUCCGAUACUGGAUGGCUUGAAUUCGGGAGAGGGAUGCAGAAUUCCAGGUGUAGCGGUGAAAUGCGUAGAUAUCUGGAGGAACACCCGUGGCGAAAGCGGCGCGCUGGACCACUACUGACGCUGAGGAACGAAAGCUAGGGGAGCAAACAGG